rnacentral:rRNA from 1 species
GUAAGGAAUAUUGCGCAAUGGGCGAAAGCCUGACGCAGCAACGCCGCGUGAAGGAUGAAGGCCUUCGGGUUGUAAACUUUUUUUGUCGGGGACGAGCAAGGACGGUACCCGGCGAAUCAGUCACGGCUAACUACGUGCCAGCAGCCGCGGUAAAACGUAGGUGGCGAGCGUUAUCCGGAUUUACUGGGCGUAAAGCGUGUGCAGGCGGGCGACCAAGUGGUGUAUGAAAGCACUGCGCUCAACGCAGUGACGGUAGGCCAGACUGGUCGUCUGGAGGGCGAGAGAGGGGCGUGGAAUUCCGGGUGUAGUGGUGAAAUGCGUAGAGAUCCGGAGGAACCCCAGAGGCGAAGGCGGCGCCCUGGCUCGCACCUGACGCUCAGACACGACAGCAUGGGGAGCGAACGGGAUUAGAAACCCUAGUAGUCC